GGGGGCGAAACGGAUUCGACGGGGAUAGCGAAGCUUAGUGUUGCAUGCCGAGUUUCUGUCAGCUCGUAAAAAUGACGGAAUUAAAUAUAAUCGCAGACGAUUAUAACUACGCACUGGCAGCGUAAUAACCUGCCAUGCCGUUCCGCCGGCCCCCGCCCACGGAGCCGGAUUCGGAGCGUCGACACUGUGGGCUGGUUAUCCGCGCACGCCUGAGGCGCGGCUGACGAGAUCCCUUCAGGCUGGCGCCUGGUUAUCCCGGUUCCGGGUGAGCCCCGGGCGCGAGAUUCAAUCCCGGAACUAAGCAUGUAGAGACCUGAGGGGAGUAUUUCCGGACGCGGGUUCGACUCCCGCCGCCUCCACCA
rnacentral:tmRNA from 1 species